GACGAACGCUGGCGGCGUGCUUAACACAUGCAAGUCGAACGGAAAGGCUCUGCUUUUGUGGGGUGCUCGAGUGGCGAACGGGUGAGUAACACGUGAGUAACCUGCCCUUGACUUUGGGGUAACUUCAGGAAACUGGGGCGAAUACCGGAUAGGAGCUGCUGCUGCUCGGUGGGGGUUGGAAAGUUUCGGCGGUUGGGGAUGGACUCGCGGCUUAUCAGCUUGUUGGUGGGGUAGUGGCUUACCAAGGCUUUGACGGGUAGCCGGACUGAGAGGGUGACCGGCCACAUUGGGACUGAAAUACGGCCCAGACUCCUACGGGAGGCAGCAGUGGGGAAUAUUGCACAAUGGGCGGAAGCGUGAUGCAGGAACGCCGCGUGCGGGAUGACGGCCUUCGGAUUGUAAACCGCUUUCGCAUGUGACGAAGCGUGAGUGACGGUAAUCGGUAAAGAAGCACCGGCUAACUACGUG
rnacentral:rRNA from 1 species